rnacentral:rRNA from 1 species
AUACGUAGGGGGCAAGCGUUAUCCGGAAUCAUUGGGCGUAAAGGGUGCGUAGGCGGCCCUAUAGGUCAGAGGUCAAAGGCUACGGCUCAACCGUAGUAAGCCUUUGAAACUGUAGGGCUUGAGUGCAGGAGAGGAGAGUGGAAUUCCUAGUGUAGCGGUGAAAUGCGUAGAUAUUAGGAGGAACACCAGUGGCGAAGGCGACUCUCUGGACUGCAACUGACGCUGAGGCACGAAAGCGUGGGUAGCGAACAGGAUUAGAUACCCUGGUAGUCCACGCCGUAAACGAUGAGUGCUAGGUGUCGGGGGUCAAACCUCGGUGCCGCAGUUAACGCAUUAAGCACUCCGCCUGGGGAGUACGUACGCAAGUAUGAA